GAUGAACGCUGGCGGCGUGCCUAAUACAUGCAAGUCGAGCGAACGGACGAGAAGCUUGCUUCUCUGAUGUUAGCGGCGGACGGGUGAGUAACACGUGGAUAACCUACCUAUAAGACUGGGAUAACUUCGGGAAACCGGAGCUAAUACCGGAUGAUAUUUUGAACCGCAUGGUUCAAAAGUGAAAGACGGUCUUGCUGUCACUUAUAGAUGGAUCCGCGCUGCAUUAGCCGGUUGGUAAGGUAACGGCUUACCAAGGCAACGAUGCAUAGCCGACCUGAGAGGGUGAUCGGCCACACUGGAACUGAGACACGGUCCAGACUCCUACGGGAGGCAGCAGUAGGGAAUCUUCCGCAAUGGGCGAAAGCCUGACGGAGCAACGCCGCGUGAGUGAUGAAGGUCUUCGGAUCGUAAAACUCUGUUAUUAGGGAAGAACAUAUGUGUAAGUAACUGUGCACAUCUUGACGGUACCUAAUCAGAAAGCCACGGCUAACUACGUG
rnacentral:rRNA from 1 species